rnacentral:rRNA from 1 species
AACGAACGCUGGCGGCAUGCCUAACACAUGCAAGUCGAACGAAGCCUUCGGGCUUAGUGGCGCACGGGUGCGUAACGCGUGGGAAUCUGCCCUUGGGUUCGGAAUAACAGUUAGAGAUGACUGCUAAUACCGGAUGAUGUCUUCGGACCAAAGAUUUAUCGCCCAAGGAUGAGCCCCCGUAGGAUUAGGUAGUUGGUGGGGUAAUGGCCCACCAAGCCGACGAUCCUUAGCUGGUCCGAGAGGAUGAUCAGCCACACUGGGACUGAGACACGGCCCAGACUCCUACGGGAGGUAGCAGUGGGGAAUAUUGGACAAUGGGCGAAAGCCUGAUCCAGCAAUGCCGCGUGAGUGAUGAAGGCCUUAGGGUUGUAAAGCUCUUUUACCAGGGAUGAUAAUGACAGUACCUGGAGAAUAAGCUCCGGCUAACUCCGUGCCAGCCGCCGCGGUAACAC